rnacentral:rRNA from 1 species
AGAGUUUGAUCCUGGCUCAGGACGAACGCUGGCGGCGUGCCUAACACAUGCAAGUCGAACGAGGUCCAGUCGGUGGCAACACCGAGGACGACCUAGUGGCGAACGGGUGAGUAACACGUGAGAAACCUGCCCCGAAGACCGGGAUAACCAGAGGAAACUCUAGCUAAUACCGGAUACCUUCACCGGAUCGCAUGGUCUGGUGAAGAAAUGGAUUCCGCUUCGGGAGGGUCUCGCGGCCUAUCAGCUAGUUGGUGAGGUAACGGCUCACCAAGGCAUCGACGGGUAGCUGGUUUGAGAGGAUGAUCAGCCACACUGGGACUGAGACACGGCCCAGACUCCUACGGGAGGCAGCAGUGGGGAAUCUUGCGCAAUGGGCGAAAGCCUGACGCAGCAACGCCGCGUGGGGGAGGAAGGCUUUCGGGUCGUAAACCCCUUUCAGCAGGAACGAAAAUGACGGUACCUGCAGAAGAAGCCCCGGCCAACUACGUGCCAGCAGCCGCGGUAACACGUAGGGGGCAAGCGUUGUCCGGAUUUACUGGGCGUAAAGAGCUCGUAGGCGGUUCGGUAAGUUGGGUGUGAAAACUCCAGGCUCAACCUGGAGAGGCCACUCAAUACUGCCGUGACUAGAGUUCGGUAGAGGAUCGUGGAAUUUCUGGUGUAGCGGUGAAAUGCGCAGAUAUCAGAAGGAACACCAACGGCGAAGGCAGCGAUCUGGGCCGAUACUGACGCUGAGGAGCGAAAGCAUGGGGAGCAAACAGGAUUAGAUACCCUGGUAGU